CCUACGGGGGGCAGCAGUGAGGAAUAUUGGUCAAUGGACGAGAGUCUGAACCAGCCAAGUAGCGUGAAGGAUGACUGCCCUAUGGGUUGUAAACUUCUUUUAUAAAGGAAUAAAACGAGGCACGUGUGCCUUUUUGCAUGUACUUUAUGAAUAAGGAUCGGCUAACUCCGUGCCAGCAGCCGCGGUAAUACGGAGGCUCCGAGCGUUAUCCGGAUGUAUUGGGUUUAAAGGGAGCGUAGAUGGGUUGUUAAGUCAGUUGUGAAAGUUUGCGGCUCAACCGUAAAAUUGCAAUUGAUACUGGCAGUCUUGAGUACAGUUGAGGUAGGCGGAAUUCGUGGUGUAGCGGUGAAAUGCUUAGAUAUCACGAAGAACCCCGAUUGCGAAGGCAGCUUACUAAACUGUGACUGACAUUGAUGCUCGAAAGUGUGGGUAUCAAACAGGAUUAGAUACACGAGUAGUC
rnacentral:rRNA from 1 species